UUCAUCUUGUAUUUUUGAUUCCAGCUCAGGUGUCACUUCUACAGGGAAGCUGUCCCUGGAUUACUCUCUUUUAUAACUAUUUACUUGACAGUCCUCAUUCCAUUUGUAAUCAUAUACUUACUUGUGUGAUUAUUUGACCCUGAGCCCCAUGAGGGCAGGUGCCAACGGGCAAGGUACACAACAAGUGCUUGUUAAAUAAAUGUUUGUUGAUAAAUGUGUAGCAUUUGGAUUUGAAGUCAUGGAGAUUGGUUUGGGGCAGGGAGAGGAGAGAAAAAGUAUCUCAUACAGGUCACAAAGGAUCAUUAACGAUCCAGAGACAGGAAAGUGAGUGGGAUCAUAUAUGUAAAAGCAAGUAAUGUUAAAAAGCUAUUCCUGGUAACUAUUUGCUCAAAUGACAUCACAAUUAGUAUUCAAAUAACUGCAUGAUAUUUUACUGAUUAGAUAUAUAUAUAAUUCCCCUCAAUUUCCUUAUUAGAUAUUUAGGUUGUUUUCACUGUUUUCAUUAGCAUAAAGAGCAAUGUAGUGAACUCAAAUAUAUUCUUAUGCUAUAAUUCACACUUUUUUUUCUCACUGCUUGACUGCAUGAGUAAAAGCAAGCUAUUUAGGACUUCUUUAGGUCCACACUUGCUUAAAAAAUUCCCUAUAAUAGUUCCAUAAAUCCAAAAAUACAGUGGUUGAUCAGUAAAAAUUGUUAACUUUACUAAUUGAUAAGGAGUUACCACACUUAAACAGCAUCUCAUUAUAAAUCUACUAAACAUUCUAGCAUUUUGAAAGUGUGCCAGGCUUAUUUCAAGAAGUCAACUUGGAACUACUGGGCUAAAGCAGAAGAAUAUGUGGGAAGGACAAGAAAUAGCUGAGUAGGUGGAAAGAAUCAGAAUGAGAGAAUGAAGUAGACAAAGGACAGUGGUUAAUAGUAAUUAGUAAAUAUCAAAAGCAAAUAAGGAUAAGACAUGCUUAAUGAUUGUGCUAGAAGUAGGGUGGGCAAAGCGCAAGGUAAAGGAUCCAAUUAUUCUUCAAGAGCUAUUUGGUCAAGUUAACUGGAAGAUAUGACAAUAGUUCACUCUGUGAACUAAAUCAUAAAGACAAAGGUCAAAGAUGAAAGCUGUGUUUAAAAUUCCCAUCAAUUGCAUGGCCAGCAGAGGAUGUGUGAUCAAGUGAGCCACCUUGGGCAUUUGAACAGCUUUACUUGUCAAAACCAUUAGCCAUGAACCUUACUUAACAAUGAGGCAGUCACCUUUAGCAAGCUGCUUUUCCAAAAGUAAAAUCAACCCUAGGUAGUCAUUAACUUGAGCAAUACUUGACUCUCUUUUUUUUAAUAUUUGAUUCUUCUCACAGUUGUAAGAUGAAAUUCAUGGAAAAUGGAUGAAAGCUUACUCCACAGUUUAUCACUCCAAUAGCCAGUGGUUCUGGAAUAUGUGAUAUGAAAAGCCCUGGACUCCUGUUUUAGUUUUUAAGACAUCAAGAGAUCAUACGGGAAUUGUUAGACAUGCCUUUUAGUACAAUCUUGUUUCUGGAGCCAUCAGGAGUCCCUUAAACAGCAGACGGGCUCCAUGUGACUCAGUGAAGGCACACAAGCUGCUGUCCAACACCAUUGCUUCUCUCUUGUGUUUAUUGUAUGCCAGUCUCACCACACUGUGCUCGGAGCAGUUUCCCAGGGAGUGUUCUGUGGGGUGCUCAUCAGAAGAAGAAACAGAGUUUUGUGAUCAAGAUGGAAAAGGAAGAAUUUUCUGGGAGGUGCGAAGGCUGCCCUGAAGACUACCUAUACCUUGGUUGGAUCAUCAGAGAAUAGGAGAAGGUAGAGACAUCCGCAUAGCAGUUUGAAGAGGGGAAUAUCUUGAUCCUGGGUGCUGUGGAUCCUUGGGAUCAGGAAGAGCAACCAAGAUUUCAAGUCUCACAACUGGAAGAGAGUGGAGCUCCAAGGACUGUCACACUUUCGAUGUGGUGUAGGACACAGAGGAUGCCCUGUGGAUGGUCAUGAGGAUCAUGGUUAGCAGCCUGCCCAGAUCGUUUGUGCUCAUCCAGUAAUGGCAGACCAGUUUUCGCCAGAGGCCUCAAGGCACAGGAAGGUGAGAUAGCUCAGUGCUGCUUCAGCGGUGGGAGUCUCAGAAGGGGCACCAAGAGUCUGACGCUUUACUUUCUGCCAAUGUCAAUUCAGGCUCUUGGGACCCUGCCACUGCUGCCAUGUGAAGAAGGCCCAGUGGCCUAGCGGCUCCUGUUGUCCCAGCUGACAGCCAAUGUGUGGAAGCAGAGAUGCCUUGCAGACCAGCAGCUAACUGACGUGACUCAGCUAAGCACAGCAGAAGACCGGCAAAAGAAAGCCCAGCUCAGAUGCCAGUGCACAGAACUAUUGUGGGGAAUAAGGAUCUUGAAGAAGUUGCUGUUCCAGAUCUUGCAAUACUGAGAACCCAAUCAUUGAGAAGCCUUUCUUUCCCAAAGUUUGAAUUAACAGCAGUCGACCCACCAAAAGUAAGCUCUAUGCCUUUUGGGUAUUUGCAUUUAUCAAAAGAAAUCUUUGGAGAAGCAGAAUGGCCUGAUCUAUCUAGUCCUCUGAAUUUAUGAAGUGGGUAUAGUAUUCUGUUUGCUUGGUGAUGUACAUUUAGACUAAUACUUAAAUCAUUCCACAAACACAGAGUGAGGCCGGCAAACCAGGAAACACAAAGCUGAGAAAGAGUUACUGGCUUUUGAGUUUUGUUCUCUGAACCAUUACUCUGGCAGGAAAGAGGAGAUGUCAUAUUUUAUAAAAUUGCCAAUUACAAAGAUUUCUCGAAUAUGAAAUUAAUCUACUACAUUUGUGUGUGUGUGUGGUUUGGGUUUGUUUUUUUGAAUAUCAAGGCCUCCCCUACCCUGGGUUCUAGUAACCUCACAGAGCCCCAGGAGUGACUUGAGUGGGGAGGCUGGUAUUAGAUCCAGACCUUGUCUCUUUUGUCCCAGCCCAGGCACUCUGUGAGACACCUUGAAAGGAACUGUCAUGGGACAGCCAAUCCUUAUCUACCUUUCUGCCACUGGGACAUAGGAGCAGAGCAGACAAAAGCUACAAAUGCUUGCCUCUGGCAUUGAUUUUUGAAGGAGGGGGAAAAAAAACCCAACAGUAGCAACUCUGGAAUUUCCGAUGCACAAAUGUCACAACUUUAAGACAUCUGGCAUCUUUUCAGUCUAGGUAGCUGAUUUUAGCACCCAGUCAAGGGAUAAAGAAAGGGUCCUUUUGCAGAAAUUUUGAAAAUAAGCAUAUCUGCAUCUUCACCUUGGAACCUCUGAGAAGGGGUAAUCAUAGGUGUUUGGACAAGCUGGCUGUGGGCAGCUGGAAAGAUAGGGAAGAAAGCCCGCUUUUUUUUUUUUUAAUAACAGCUGUAGUGAAAUAUACCUCACACAUCAUAAAGUUCACAUUUUGAAAGUCUAAGUGGGUUUUAGUAUAUUCACAUAGUUAUGAAACCAUAACCGCAACCUAAUUUUAGACCAUCUUUAUCACCCCCCAAAAAAACACUGUACUUGGCAAAAUCACUUAUAUAUUCUGGAUACACGUCCCGUAUUAGAUAUAUGAUUUGCAAAUAUUUUUCCCGUUCUGUGAGUUGUCUUUUCACUUUCUUGAAGUCUUUGAAGCAUAAAUGUUUUUAAUUUUGAUGCAGUGUAAUGUAUCUGUUUUUCUUUUGUUCCUUAUACUUUUGGUAUCAUAUCUAAGAUAUGACUGCUGCCUAAUCCAACAUCCUAAAGAUUGAUUCCUAUGUUUUCGUUGGGAAGAAAAACCUUUCUCUGUCCUUCAAGGUCUUUCUAGCUGGACUAAGAAUCAAAUUGACAAGAGACAGAUUAACAGGAGAAAGUCCAACUUAAUAGCAUACAUAAGGGGAAUCCACACAGACAAUGAAAUUCCAAAGACAGUGAGACAACAUGAAGUUUAUAUGAGCUCAGGAGAGGGGUACGGGUCUGAGGACACAAAGGGGAGAAAGACCAUUAGAAGGAAGGUGAGAGGAGAUGUUUGGGAAACAAAGGUUGCCCUAGUAUGCAGAUAACAGAUUCCUCUUUACCUGAGAAAUCUAAUAGAGUUCUUCCUGGUACAGGCACAGAGUAGAGGGGGAGGUAAAGAGCUUUUUCCGAAUCUUCUGGGGCUUGUUUGCUUUUAACUCAAAAUAAUGUUCAUACCAAAGUGGCCCAUCUUGGGGCAGCCUGCCCUUGGCCCCUAUAGUGCCCUCUUCUGAAACUUCCCUGAAGUUUCACACAUUGAAAGUUGAGCUGGUAGACUGUGGCAUAUUGCCGAACCACUCCUGACAAUAUGUAAGUUCAGUUCAACUCAUUUCAGGAGAUGGUCAUAUAGCUAUGUUCUCAAAUUUAGGCCUAUGGUUCAAGUAAUCCAGUAUUAGAAAUGCCUGUUGGGGCACCUGGGGGGCUCAGUUGUUUAAGCGUCCGACUUUGGCUCAGGUCAUGAUCUCAUGGUUCAUGGGUUUAGCCCCACAUCAGGCUCUGUGCUGACAGCUCAGAGCCUGCUUCCGAUUCUGUGUCUCCCUCCCUGUCUCUGCCCCUUCCCCACUCACACUCUCUCUCUCUCUCAAAAAUAAAUAACCAUUAAAAAAAAAAAAAAAGAAAUGCCUGUUGUUUAAGAAAACCAAUGGUUAAUGAUUGGAUCAAAUUAUAAACCAGUUUUUGAGUGCUGAGGAGAGCCAGUGGAAAAGAUUUCUAGAUGUCAAGCUCGAAGUAUCUUCAGCUAGAGUGAGAGCAGGCAGAAGCAGUGUGACAGAACUUCCUGGUUUGUAGUUGUGUCUCUGGUGAUCUUUGAGUGGCCAAUAGAACAGCAGGCAUGAAGAUUGUGUACACAUGAGCUGUAGUGAUGAUUUUUCUGAAGUUUAUAUCGAGCCAUUCAUAUUUAGUUUGCUUUGGGAAAAGGGAAGUUUUUGUUCUCAAAUGAAUCCACCUCAGAAAGGAGGGAGAAAAAUCAACAUUAGUUUGGAGAGUUAUAGCUAGACAUUGGAGGAAACUGUUAUGCCCAGAAUUCGUGAUCUCCAAAGACCACCAGGGAGCCGAGUCCGAUGCAAAAGUAAAGAGCCUUUAUUCGAGCUAGCUCGAGCUCAAUCCCCUACCUGCACUGACGUAGCGGUGAGAUACUGGGGAGAGAGAGCAAGUUUCAAAAGGACAAAGGUUUUAUUGGGGCCUAGGGGCAGUUGGUGAGGUAAUGGCCGUGGCCUCAGCGGAUUGGCUGGGGAAGGGUCGGAGUCCUGUUGCGCAGGUUGCCGGGCAUGUUUUGAUCGGGAAGUUUGAACGGGUGAGGGGGAGGUUACUCAAGGGGAGGAGGUGUGAUCAAGGUGAAGGACACAGAACAAGAUGGAGUCAGCCAGCAUAGGCCCGCCCUUUCAGAAACCAGAAGAAAUCAGGAUCUAGUCCAGUUUAUAAUGAAAAGGCCAAGUGGGAUGGCAACUAUUUAGCUUGGCUUUUGGCCUCUGGAGGAUGUUAAAAGUUCAAUCUGGAGAUUCCUUAUAAAAGUUCCAGCAAAGCAGGUUUUCAGGAGCCUAUAUGGUCACUGCUAUUCUUGCUGCACUUACGUAAAUAAUGAGGCCAAAUUGUUUUCUUCCUUCUUCCUGCCUUUCUUGACUGUCUUUCCUGUCAGUCUUUCUUUCCUUCCUUCCUUCCAUCCUUCCUUCCUUCCUUCCUUCCUUCCUCUCUCCCUUCCUUCCUUUCUUCCUUCCUUCCUU